rnacentral:snRNA from 1 species
AUUGCUUCUCAGCCUUUUGGCUAAGAUCAAGUGCAGAAUCCAAAUGCAAAUAUAUAUAUAUAUAUAUAUAUUUUUUUUUUUUUUUUUUUUUUAGACAAGGUCUCACCAUGCAGUACAGGCUGACCUUGAAUUUGCAGCCAUCCUCAUGCCUCAGCCUCCCGAG